CCCCAUUCACGGCGUCGACCUAUAGGGAUUCAACGGGAGGGAACAAAAGGGGGGAGAGCCAAUGAGGGUUUGUAAAGGUGCGGGGUUGUGCCCUCUGGACAUGACCCUCAAACAUCUCAGACACCCCAUGUCACAUUCACAAGUCACCUGUCUCAGCAAAGCCCUCGGGACGCGGUCGCACCCACCAUUGACGCGGGACAAUUCACAG